GCCUGCUACAUUGUUCUGGGUUGGAAAUUGUUGACUAAUUGAUCUGAUUCCUCAAAUUUAGCAUGGGAAGAUGUUUCAUUUUACCAUGGAUUUUGAUGUCUCCAUAGAGAUAAGAUGUGGAGGAUGCUUGGCCGUGUAUUCACCAGUGACCCAGUGGAUCCUUCCCCUUUCAGUGAACUUUCUGAGGAUUGUGUGUGGUUAGGCAGAGGACAUCCGUGCCACCGAGGGGUCGCUGCGGCAGCGGAAAAAAUUUAAAAAGUGCAGCGGCGGAGCAACUGCCCAUCCCUCCCUCCCCCAGGAAGGCUCUCCCUCUUGCCUCAACUUGCACCUCUACCCAGUGCACAUGGUUCCCCCUCAGCGGCUGGAGUUGACCCUGUCUCAGUCCGGACCCCCCUCUACUGCCCAUAGGCCGCCACCAUCGCCUGUCCAACCAACAGCCCGCCUGCCCCGCCAGCCCCAGGCUCCCUG
rnacentral:lncRNA from 1 species